GAGGGUAUAGCUCAGUGGUAGAGCACAUACUUAGCAUGCACAAGGUUCUGGGUUCAAUUCCCAGUACCUCCA
rnacentral:tRNA from 1 species